AAGUAACUAGUUUAUAAAAACAUUUGUUUUGAAAGCAAAAGAUACAAUUUGUGUUACUUU
rnacentral:tRNA from 1 species